AUUGAACGCUGGCGGCAUGCCUUACACAUGCAAGUCGAACGGUAACGCGGGGCAACCUGGCGACGAGUGGCGAACGGGUGAGUAACGCAUCGGAACGUACCCAGUAGUGGGGGAUAGCCCGGCGAAAGCCGGAUUAAUACCGCAUACGACCUACGGGUGAAAGCGGGGGAUCGCAAGACCUCGCGCUAUUGGAGCGGCCGAUGUCAGAUUAGGUAGUUGGUGGGGUAAAGGCCUACCAAGCCUACGAUCUGUAGCUGGUCUGAGAGGACGACCAGCCACACUGGGACUGAGACACGGCCCAGACUCCUACGGGAGGCAGCAGUGGGGAAUUUUGGACAAUGGGCGCAAGCCUGAUCCAGCCAUGCCGCGUGCGGGAAGAAGGCCUUCGGGUUGUAAACCGCUUUUGUCAGGGAAGAAACGCCCUGGGCUAAUACCCCGGGGUAAUGACGGUACCUGAAGAAUAAGCACCGGCUAACUACGUGCCAGCCGCCGCGGUAAUAC
rnacentral:rRNA from 1 species